UACGGGGGGAGCAAGCGUUGUUCGGAUUUACUGGGCGUAAAGGGCGCGUAGGCGGCCAGCACAAGUCAGUUGUGAAAUCUCCGAGCUUAACUCGGAACGGUCAACUGAUACUGUGCGGCUAGAGUGCAGAAGGGGCAACUGGAAUUCUUGGUGUAGCGGUGAAAUGCGUAGAUAUCGAGAGGAACACCAGUGGCGAAGGCGAGUCUCUGGACGACUCCUGACACUGAGGCACGAAAGCUAGGGGAGCAAACAGG
rnacentral:rRNA from 1 species